rnacentral:rRNA from 1 species
UACGAAGGGGGCUAGCGUUGUUCGGAAUCACUGGGCGUAAAGCGCACGUAGGCGGAUUGUUAAGUCGGGGGUGAAAUCCUGAGGCUCAACCUCAGAACUGCCUUCGAUACUGGCAAUCUCGAGUCCGGAAGAGGUUGGUGGAACAGCUAGUGUAGAGGUGAAAUUCGUAGAUAUUAGCUAGAACACCAGUGGCGAAGGCGGCCAACUGGUCCGGUACUGACGCUGAGGUGCGAAAAGCGUGGGGAGCAAACAGGG